rnacentral:sRNA from 2 species
AUGCGCACGCUCGGGUUGCUGCGCACCGGCCACGCCCGCCCGAGCGCUGCUCGCUAUGUUUUGUUGGCC